GGCUCAGAACGAACGCUGGCGGCGUGCCUAACACAUGCAAGUCGAACGUGAACGGACUUCGGUCCAAGUAAAGUGGCGCACGGGUGAGUAACGCGUGGGUAAUCUACCCUCGGGCGGGGAAUAACAUCUCGAAAGGGGUGCUAAUACCGCAUGAGACCACGUGCCUUGUGGCUAGUGGGAAAAGAUGGGGAACUUCGGUCCUGUCACCUGAGGAUGAGCUCGCGUACCAUUAGAUAGUUGGUGGGGUAAUGGCCUACCAAGUCGAAGAUGGUUAGCUGGUCUGAGAGGAUGAUCAGCCACAUUGGGACUGAGACACGGCCCAAACUCCUACGGGAGGCAGCAGUGGGGAAUAUUGCGCAAUGGGCGAAAGCCUGACGCAGCAACGCCGCGUGUGUGAUGAAAGGUCUUCGGAUCGUAAAGCAUUGUCGCAUGGAACGAGCCGGUAAGAGCCAAUACCUCUUGCCCCGACGGUACCAUGUGAGGAAGCACCGGCUAACUCCGUGCCAGCAGCGGC
rnacentral:rRNA from 1 species